GUGUGUGUGUGUGUGUGUGCGUGUGUGUGUGUGUGUGUCUAUCAAUGCAUUCACUUGACACAUGUGAAUUGGGUACCCAGGGUACGCCAGGCACUCUUAGACCUUUUGUAUCUCUCCUCUGGGCCUGAGUAUUUGCUGGACUCUGGCAGUGAGAGAGCAUGAGGGCAGUCUUUGUUUUUACUUAUUCCUUUGGGACAUCCAGGCAGGCAUUUCUGUCCUUAUCAUAAGACCAGAACCUACACGUGGCCUGGGGACAGGGAGCAGCCCGGCCUGCCAGGAGCUCUGACUAUCCUUUAUGUCCUGUUCUAUUAGAGAGGCUUUGCUCCAGGACAGCUAGUAACCAGUAACUGGCAGCAGCACCAGAAAGGGGACGGGGAAUUUGGGGCUGGCAGGGGAGGGGAGAUGGCAGAUGAAGUUCAUUUGGCAUCAUCCUCCCACCUGGUCUCCACCUCUGCCUUCUGCUCCUCUUGACCUUGACCUUCUUGCUCACUCUGCAGGCUUCCUCCUCACUGACCUGUCAGCUGAGACGUGGUCCACUUCCCUCUUCCCCCAUUUCUCAUCUGCUCCAGCAUGAGGAGCUCUAACCAAA